AUGAGUGCUCAUUGGUUAGUAGUUAGAUAAGUGUUUUCCUGGUUUUUUUUAUAAUUCUUCGUGUACCUAAGAAUUUCUAGUAGGAAUAUGUAGGCACACAGUUUGUGGUGAUUGGGAGUGGGGCUGGCCCAGCCCCAUCCCCAGUGGGUGCAGCUGUGAGCAGCAGAUGAGCAGCACUGACAGCAAUGAGCCAUGGAGUGCCCAGGGGCACUGAGAAACACCAAAGGGAGCAGAGGGCACACAGGUGCAGUGCAUCAGCAUGAGGGGAUAAAAGGUUGGGCUAAUGAAUGAGAAGGGCAGAGCUUGCAGCCUUCUGAAGUGGUUUGGUGUUACUCUGUGUGGAGUGAAGCUUUCUGAUAGUGUAUGGUGACACUCUGUGUACCAUGGGUGUAUCAGCUGCGACACGUGUAGCAACAGGUAUACAGAAAGGAUAACACAGAAAAAGUUGCUGGAAUGGUGCAAGGUGAGCCAUGUUCCCAGCAGAUGUACAAGACUUGAAGUGUUUUCAUUUAUCUGUUCAGUUUGUUUUUGAAACAAUUAGGUAGCAUGAAGACAGAUGCCUCUCUUAAUUUCCCUGUGAUGAAGAUGUCUGGUAUGAAGUGGAAAUAUCUGCAGUUCUCCUGUCAGGGAGCAGCACCUUGUCACAAGCUGCCCAAAUUUCAGAUGUUAAACACAUGUGGAUCCUGGAUCAGAACCAAUGCUCGAGGCAUUUGCAGGGAGAGGACAGCCAUUCCAAGAAACCUCAAUAUGUUGGAAGGGGUCUAUAUUUUCUGGUGAAAAAUAAAGCAAAUGCUGCGACUGCAUAUUAUCGUGGAGAGAUCCUACUGCAUGCUCAGGAAAAGGAAUCUGUUGUUUUUCACAGCUUCUGAAGUGGGAAACAAGUUCUGCCUCCAUUUUACACUGAGUUAAGUAAAAAAUUGCAGAAAUGAAGACCUGGUUUCCCUACACGCUUCUGGAGGCUGGGUACUGUCCUGCAAAACUUGCUUCCUCAGCAGAAAGAGGUUCUCCAAGAAAGCAGUGCCCUAAAUUCUGCUGUUCACCGUUUGAAAGAGGCAGCCAGGUAGAAUUUAUUUUCUCAGGAGUUUUUCUUUUGCUGAUUAAUUGUUUUCCACACUAGGCCAUUAUGUUGGUAAAAUAUUUAUAACCAUUAUGAUGAAAAUUGCCAGGAAAUGAAUUCACAUAGUCCUGCUACCUUUAGAAUUUUUUUUUCCCAGGACUUUGAAACACUGCUGUGGUUUUGGCUUGCCUCUCUAGUCUUGCUAUUCUUUUCUGUCACACUCGGUAAUUGGCCUAAUAAAAGGCAGUAACAAGAAUUUAUUACACCUUGGGCGAUACUUGAAACAAACUUUAUUUGCUGGAGCAGCACUUUUUAUCUACUCGCUGCUGUAUAUUUUGACAGUCUUUCUAAAUAUUAAAUCUGACUUUAUUAAAAGUUAAAUCUUGGUGCUUUUUUGUGAUUGCUGCUGUUUUUGCAGUUUCUUAAGCAGACUAGUACAUAUAUAAACAUAUCUUUUUAAUGAAGCUUUUGGAGAAAUAAUGUAAGCUGUAGAUCUAUCUGCUUAUUGCCAGAAUCCACAAAAAAGGUAUGAAUUAAAGACCAGCUUCUAGGAGAUCUUGUAAUUUAGUUUUGGAAUAAUGUAUGUGAUUGAGAGAACAAAGAUGAGAACUAUUCAACUUUUCAUACCUUUUUCAAGGUUCAGAUUUGAUGAAAUGUUCCUUGAGCAAAUGACACCCUUAACAUUUAAAGUUCGCAAAGUAACAGCAGUAAAAUUAAAGCAAGGCUAGAUUGCUAUGAUGUAAUUUCCCCUUUUAAAUCUGGGUUUCUUCUUCCAGAUACUGAAUGAUAAAACCAUAAACUUUUUUUGUUUGUUUUCUAAAAAGGCCUUAAGAAAGAGCAGUAAGUCAUCCUGGAACUG